GCCAUCAGGAAAGAGAUCACAGAAAAGCGAUUGCCUGUACAGUCCUCUUCAUCAUUUGUGACCUGGGAUAUUGAGCUCUUGGGCUGUCAGAAUUCCAGUUCAUGAGGCAAUCUAUGUCAUUCUGGUCUAGCCAGCACCUUGAUGAAGUGGCAUAUUAUAUCCAUCUUCCAGAUGAGGAAAUUGAUACAUGGAAAUGACACAGAUCCAAAAAAAUAUUCCUGUGAUUUAUGUCAGAGAGUGUUCUGCCUAUGUUCUCUUCGAGGAGUUUUAUAGUUUCCAGGCUCUGGUGGGGUGUGUGUGGAGAGGGACUCCAGUGACUAGCAUCAGCAAAUGUGAGUACCUAUGGAGCAAAGAUGGUGAAAUCUUUAGAGGGUCUUCAGCGGCUGGGUUGGCCUUUAGUUUCUUCAGUGGCAGAAUCUGCUGUUUGUCUGCAGGGCAGGUCACUGUGAACUGCGAUUGCUGCCACUGAAUGACUGUAUUGGUAGCCCCUGUUUUUUCCUUAUUCCUAGCCAUCUCUGUAUGUCUCAGUUUUGAUGGUCUGGGUGGAAUGAAACUGAAGUGGGACCUUCAUGUGGUGCCCAAAAGGCUGGAAACUGAUCGCCCAUCCCACUCUUCCUUUUCUGGUGAGGGGAACCCUCUACCUGAGAAAACCCCUCUUGGUACUGAACAAUGCUUACUUGGGGGAUGUGAUGAUGCAGGCAAAAUGAACCUAUCUUUUUUCUCUUCUUGGGCAGUUAUUCUCAGGUUUUGUUUUUCU